AGCGAACGCUAGCGGCGGGCCUAACACAUGCAAGUCGAACGGCAGCACGGGCUUCGGCCUGGUGGCGAGUGGCGAACGGGUGAGUAAUGCAUCGGAACGUGCCCAUGUUGUGGGGGGAUAACUACGCGAAAGCGUGGCUAAUACCGCAUACGCCUUGAGGGGGGAAAGCGGGGGGAUUCUUCGGAACCUCGCGCAAUUGGAGCGGCCGAUGUCAGAUUAGCUUGUUGGUGAGGUAAAGGCUCACCAAGGCGACGAUCUGUAGCGGGUCUGGGAGGAUGAUCCGCCACACUGGGACUGAGACACGGCCCAGACUCCUACGGGAGGCAGCAGUGGGAAUUUUGGACAAUGGGCGAAAGCCUGAUCCAGCCAUGCCGCGUGUCUGAAGAAGGCC
rnacentral:rRNA from 1 species